AGCAGCCGCGGUAAUUCCAGCUCCAAUAGCGUAUAUUAAAGUUGUUGCAGUUAAAAAGCUCGUAGUUGAAUUUCGGGACCAGACUGUCGGUCGUGCCUCGGUACGCACUGGCAUUAUUGGUUUCUCCCUUCUGACGAACCAUGAUGUCAUUUAUUUGGUGUCGUGGGGAAUCAGGACUGUUACUUUGAAAAAUUAGAGUGUUUAAAGCAGGCGCACGCUUGAAUACAUUAGCAUGGAAUAAUGAAAUAGGACGUUUGAUUCUAUUUUGUUGGUUUCUAGGAUCGACGUAAUGAUUAAUAGGGAUAGUUGGGGGCAUUAGUAUUCAAUUGUCAGAGGUGAAAUUCUUGGAUUUUAUUGAAGACUAACUACUGCGAAAGCAUUUG
rnacentral:rRNA from 1 species